GUUGUGCCCUUGAGGCGUGGCUUCCGGAGCUAACGCGUUAAGUCGACCGCCUGGGGAGUACGGCCGCAAGGUUAAAACUCAAAUGAAUUGACGGGGGCCCGCACAAGCGGUGGAGCAUGUGGUUUAAUUCGAUGCAACGCGAAGAACCUUACCUGGUCUUGACAUCCACGGAAGUUUUCAGAGAUGAGAAUGUGCCUUCGGGAACCGUGAGACAGGUGCUGCAUGGCUGUCGUCAGCUCGUGUUGUGAAAUGUUGGGUUAAGUCCCGCAACGAGCGCAACCCUUAUCCUUUGUUGCCAGCGGUCCGGCCGGGAACUCAAAGGAGACUGCCAGUGAUAAACUGGAGGAAGGUGGGGAUGACGUCAAGUCAUCAUGGCCCUUACGACCAGGGCUACACACGUGCUACAAUGGCGCAUACAAAGAGAAGCGACCUCGCGAGAGCAAGCGGACCUCAUAAAGUGCGUCGUAGUCCGGAUUGGAGUCUGCAACUCGACUCCAUGAAGUCGGAAUCGCUAGUAAUCGUGGAUCAGAAUGCCACGGUGAAUACGUUCCCGGGCCUUGUACACACCGCCCGUCACACCAUGGGAGUGGGUUGCAAAAGAAGUAGGUAGCUUAACCUUCGGGAGGGCGCUUACCACUUUGUGAUUCAUGACUGGGGUGAAGUCGUAACAAGGUAACCGUAGGGGAACCUGCGGUUGGAUCAC
rnacentral:rRNA from 1 species